rnacentral:rRNA from 1 species
UUAAGCGACUAAGCGUACACGGUGGAUGCCCUGGCAGUCAGAGGCGAUGAAGGACGUGCUAAUCUGCGAUAAGCGUCGGUAAGGUGAUAUGAACCGUUAUAACCGGCGAUUUCCGAAUGGGGAAACCCAGUGUGUUUCGACACACUAUCAUUAACUGAAUCCAUAGGUUAAUGAGGCGAACCGGGGGAACUGAAACAUCUAAGUACCCCGAGGAAAAGAAAUCAACCGAGAUUCCCCCAGUAGCGGCGAGCGAACGGGGAGCAGCCCAGAGCCUGAAUCAGUGUGUGUGUUAGUGGAAGCGUCUGGAAAGGCGCGCGAUACAGGGUGACAGCCCCGUACACAAAAAUGCACAUGCUGUGAGCUCGAUGAGUAGGGCGGGACACGUGGUAUCCUGUCUGAAUAUGGGGGGACCAUCCUCCAAGGCUAAAUACUCCUGACUGACCGAUAGUGAACCAGUACCGUGAGGGAAAGGCGAAAAGAACCCCGGCGAGGGGAGUGAAAAAGAACCUGAAACCGUGUACGUACAAGCAGUGGGAGCACGCUUAGGCGUGUGACUGCGUACCUUUUGUAUAAUGGGUCAGCGACUUAUAUUCUGUAGCAAGGUUAACCGAAUAGGGGAGCCGAAGGGAAACCGAGUCUUAACUGGGCGUUAAGUUGCAGGGUAUAGACCCGAAACCCGGUGAUCUAGCCAUGGGCAGGUUGAAGGUUGGGUAACACUAACUGGAGGACCGAACCGACUAAUGUUGAAAAAUUAGCGGAUGACUUGUGGCUGGGGGUGAAAGGCCAAUCAAACCGGGAGAUAGCUGGUUCUCCCCGAAAGCUAUUUAGGUAGCGCCUCGUGAAUUCAUCUCCGGGGGUAGAGCACUGUUUCGGCAAGGGGGUCAUCCCGACUUACCAACCCGAUGCAAACUGCGAAUACCGGAGAAUGUUAUCACGGGAGACACACGGCGGGUGCUAACGUCCGUCGUGAAGAGGGAAACAACCCAGACCGCCAGCUAAGGUCCCAAAGUCAUGGUUAAGUGGGAAACGAUGUGGGAAGGCCCAGACAGCCAGGAUGUUGGCUUAGAAGCAGCCAUCAUUUAAAGAAAGCGUAAUAGCUCACUGGUCGAGUCGGCCUGCGCGGAAGAUGUAACGGGGCUAAACCAUGCACCGAAGCUGCGGCAGCGACGCUUAUGCGUUGUUGGGUAGGGGAGCGUUCUGUAAGCCUGUGAAGGUGUGCUGUGAGGCAUGCUGGAGGUAUCAGAAGUGCGAAUGCUGACAUAAGUAACGAUAAAGCGGGUGAAAAGCCCGCUCGCCGGAAGACCAAGGGUUCCUGUCCAACGUUAAUCGGGGCAGGGUGAGUCGACCCCUAAGGCGAGGCCGAAAGGCGUAGUCGAUGGGAAACAGGUUAAUAUUCCUGUACUUGGUGUUACUGCGAAGGGGGGACGGAGAAGGCUAUGUUGGCCGGGCGACGGUUGUCCCGGUUUAAGCGUGUAGGCUGGUUUUCCAGGCAAAUCCGGAAAAUCAAGGCUGAGGCGUGAUGACGAGGCACUACGGUGCUGAAGCAACAAAUGCCCUGCUUCCAGGAAAAGCCUCUAAGCAUCAGGUAACAUCAAAUCGUACCCCAAACCGACACAGGUGGUCAGGUAGAGAAUACCAAGGCGCUUGAGAGAACUCGGGUGAAGGAACUAGGCAAAAUGGUGCCGUAACUUCGGGAGAAGGCACGCUGAUAUGUAGGUGAAGUCCCUCGCGGAUGGAGCUGAAAUCAGUCGAAGAUACCAGCUGGCUGCAACUGUUUAUUAAAAACACAGCACUGUGCAAACACGAAAGUGGACGUAUACGGUGUGACGCCUGCCCGGUGCCGGAAGGUUAAUUGAUGGGGUCAGCGCAAGCGAAGCUCUUGAUCGAAGCCCCGGUAAACGGCGGCCGUAACUAUAACGGUCCUAAGGUAGCGAAAUUCCUUGUCGGGUAAGUUCCGACCUGCACGAAUGGCGUAAUGAUGGCCAGGCUGUCUCCACCCGAGACUCAGUGAAAUUGAACUCGCUGUGAAGAUGCAGUGUACCCGCGGCAAGACGGAAAGACCCCGUGAACCUUUACUAUAGCUUGACACUGAACAUUGAGCCUUGAUGUGUAGGAUAGGUGGGAGGCUUUGAAGUGUGGACGCCAGUCUGCAUGGAGCCGACCUUGAAAUACCACCCUUUAAUGUUUGAUGUUCUAACGUUGACCCGUGAUCCGGGUUGCGGACAGUGUCUGGUGGGUAGUUUGACUGGGGCGGUCUCCUCCUAAAGAGUAACGGAGGAGCACGAAGGUUGGCUAAUCCUGGUCGGACAUCAGGAGGU